rnacentral:rRNA from 1 species
CGUUAUGNGACGGUAGAGUAAUACAUAGGUAACCUACCCUUAAGACGAGGAUAGCCAUUGGAAACGAUGGAUAAAACCGGAUAGGAUAUAGAGGAAGAAUCUUUUAUAUUUAAAAGAGAGAUCUGCUUAAGGAGGGGCCUGUGGCGCAUUAGCUAGUUGGUGGGGUAAGGGCCUACCAAGGCGAUGAUGCGUAGCCGGACUGAGAGGUUGAACGGCCACAAUGGAACUGAGAACGGUCCAUACUCCUACGGAAGGCAGCAG